rnacentral:rRNA from 1 species
GAAUUCAGACAAACUCCGAAUGCCAAUUAAUUUAACUUGGGAGUCAGAACAUGGGUGAUAAGGUCCGUGUUCGAAAGGGAAACAGCCCAGACCACCAGCUAAGGUCCCAAAAUAUAUGUUAAGUGGAAAAGGAUGUGGCGUUGCCCAGACAACUAGGAUGUUGGCUUAGAAGCAGCCAUCAUUUAAAGAGUGCGUAAUAGCUCACUAGUCGAGUGACACUGCGCCGAAAAUGUACCGGGGCUAAACAUAUUACCGAAGCUGUGGAUUGUCCUUUGGACAAUGGUAGGAGAGCGUUCUAAGGGCGUUGAAGCAUGAUCGUAAGGACAUGUGGAGCGCUUAGAAGUGAGAAUGCCGGUGUGAGUAGCGAAAGACGGGUGAGAAUCCCGUCCACCGAUUGACUAAGGUUUCCAGAGGAAGGCUCGUCCGCUCUGGGUUAGUCGGGUCCUAAGCUGAGGCCGACAGGCGUAGGCGAUGGAUAACAGGUUGAUAUUCCUGUACCACCUAUAAUCGUUUUAAUCGAUGGGGGGACGCAGUAGGAUAGGCGAAGCGUGCGAUUGGAUUGCACGUCUAAGCAGUAAGGCUGAGUAUUAGGCAAAUCCGGUACUCGUUAAGGCUGAGCUGUGAUGGGGAGAAGACAUUGAGUCUUCGAGUCGUUGAUUUCACACUGCCGAGAAAAGCCUCUAGAUAGAAAAUAGGUGCCCGUACCGCAAACCGACACAGGUAGUCAAGAUGAGAAUUCUAAGGUGAGCGAGCGAACUCUCGUUAAGGAACUCGGCAAAAUGACCCCGUAACUUCGGGAGAAGGGGUGCUCUUUAGGGUUAACGCCCAGAAGAGCCGCAGUGAAUAGGCCCAAGCGACUGUUUAUCAAAAACACAGGUCUCUGCUAAACCGUAAGGUGAUGUAUAGGGGCUGACGCCUGCCCGGUGCUGGAAGGUUAAGAGGAGUGGUUAGCUUCUGCGAAGCUACGAAUCGAAGCCCCAGUAAACGGCGGCCGUAACUAUAACGGUCCUAAGGUAGCGAAAUUCCUUGUCGGGUAAGUUCCGACCCGCACGAAAGGCGUAACGAUUUGGGCACUGUCUCAACGAGAGACUCGGUGAAAUCAUAGUACCUGUGAAGAUGCAGGUUACCCGCGACAGGACGGAAAGACCCCGUGGAGCUUUACUGUAGCCUGAUAUUGAAAUUCGGCACAGCUUGUACAGGAUAGGUAGGAGCCUUUGAAACGUGAGCGCUAGCUUACGUGGAGGCGCUGGUGGGAUACUACCCUAGCUGUGUUGGCUUUCUAACCCGCACCACUUAUCGUGGUGGGAGACAGUGUCAGGCGGGCAGUUUGACUGGGGCGGUCGCCUCCUAAAAGGUAACGGAGGCGCUCAAAGGUUCCCUCAGAAUGGUUGGAAAUCAUUCAUAGAGUGUAAAGGCAUAAGGGAGCUUGACUGCGAGACCUACAAGUCGAGCAGGGUCGAAAGACGGACUUAGUGAUCCGGUGGUUCCGCAUGGAAGGGCCAUCGCUCAACGGAUAAAAGCUACCCCGGGGAUAACAGGCUUAUCUCCCCCAAGAGUUCACAUCGACGGGGAGGUUUGGCACCUCGAUGUCGGCUCAUCGCAUCCUGGGGCUGUAGUCGGUCCCAAGGGUUGGGCUGUUCGCCCAUUAAAGCGGUACGCGAGCUGGGUUCAGAACGUCGUGAGACAGUUCGGUCCCUAUCCGUCGUGGGCGUAGGAAAUUUGAGAGGAGCUGUCCUUAGUACGAGAGGACCGGGAUGGACAUACCUCUGGUGUACCAGUUGUCGUGCCAACGGCAUAGCUGGGUAGCUAUGUGUGGACGGGAUAAGUGCUGAAAGCAUCUAAGCAUGAAGCCCCCCUCAAGAUGAGAUUUCCCAACUUCGGUUAUAAGA